rnacentral:rRNA from 1 species
GACAGAGGCCUCAAGCGUUAGGCGGAAUCACUGGGCUUAAAGCGUGUGUAGGCGGACUUCUAAGUGCCUUGUGAAAUCCCAAGGCUCAACCUUGGAACUGCCUUUGAUACUGGGGAUCUCGAGUCCGGAAGAGGUUGGUGAACUGCGAGUGUAGAGGUGAAAUUCGUAGAUAUUCGCAAGAACACCAGUGGCGAAGGCGGCCAACUGGUCCGGAACUGACGCUGAGGUGCGAAAGCGUGGG